AUGCCAUGAUGAGGGCACUUUCGUAAGAACUCCUUGAAUCGCUCCCAUGCCUCGUAUAAAGAUUCUUCAUCAAGUUGCUGAAAUAAAGCCGCUCGCAUUCCUCAUAU
rnacentral:snoRNA from 1 species